rnacentral:rRNA from 8 species
CGGAUGCGAUCAUACCAGCACUAC